rnacentral:rRNA from 1 species
CGCCUCUUGACCAAGUAUAAGAGGUCCAGCCUGCCCGGUGACUUAGUUUAACGGCCACGGUACCCUGACCGUGCGAAGGUAGCAUAAUCACUUGUUCUCUAAAUAGGGACUUGUAUCAAUGGCAUCACGAGGGCUGCACUGUCUCCUCUCUUCAAUCAGUGAAACUGAUCCCCCCGUGAAGAAGCGUGGAUUAAAUUAUAAGACGAGAAGACCCCAUGGAGCUUUAAACAAUGUGCUCACACCAUAUUAAUAUGCCAACUCACUAGAAGCCCUGAGCACAAGUUUUAGGUUGGGGAGACCGCGGAGCACAAACUAACCUCCACGACAAAUGGCUAUUGCCUAAUCCAAGAGCCACAGCUCCAAGAAUCAAUAUAUUGAUGUAUAUGAUCCGAUGUUCGAUUAACGAAUCAAGUUACCCUGGGGAUAACAGCGCAAUCUACUUUGAGAGUCCUUAUCGACAAGUAGGCUUACGACCUCGAUGUUGG